GUGGAUCGAGAAUCGUUCGAAGGAGAAGACCGGCAGCUUCUUUUUCUCGCUUAAACGAGUUUUAACGAAGAAGGAAGAGAAGGAGAUAAAAAGAAAGAAAAAGAUAGAGUGAGGUUUACUAUGAAGGGUGUUCAAGCCCUUGAGGGACCGUGACACGUCAUAUAUGGUUCAUCCCUUAACAGACAUCUAAUGGCUAGUAGCUUGUAUAUAUCCUUACAACAGGACAACCGCAUAAUAUCAGGAACUAAUCGGUCUGCUUCGUCCGCUUGGAGGUUAACAUUACACACAGUGUUAGGAACGGCCAAUGAGGAACAUUAUUAAAACGAGUACGCUUGGGGUUCCCUCCUCUCCUCUCUUCCCCGCUCCUCUCCAAUACUCUUCUCUCAUCUCAUUUCAGGGAUUCGUACAAAGCUAAGCUCGUUUGAGCCACGUCAUAGCACCCAUCCUACCGCUCUCUCACCCAUAACCAUCAACCCCUCAGCUCGAAAUUCCCUAGUCGAGCGACCAAUGAUCUAGUUGUAGUAGUGCCACGAACAAAAUUUCCUCCCCUUUCCCCUACUCUUCCACAAUCGUAAAAGUCUAUUCUCUUGCGUUGUUCUUUUUUCCGUUUUCUGCCAUUUAACAUACCCCCUCAAUCCCCACCCCACCGCCGCCACACCCCUACCUUGUAAUCCCUACCAAUUCUACUUCUAUUAUCCACUCAUUCGCAAAUUUGGCACGACUCCAUUACAUUUCUUUAAAGCCACGCAUAUUACAUUUUGUUUUUAAACGACGAUCGAUUAAUAAUUUCCUUUUAAAUACGAAACGAUCGAGCGAUUUCUUUUAUUUUUCUAUUAUUUUCUUUUCCUUUUUCUUCUUAUAUAAUUUUAUAUCCUUAUUUUUUUAUAAUGAAAAUAUAAAACGAUUGAAGAAAAACCAAACGAGACAUUCAUUCUCGAAUUAAGAAUUACGUAGAGAUACGUGAAGAUGAUACAAGAGAGGAAAAACAACAACAACAACGAUAAAAGAAGAAAAAAGAAAAGAAGAAGA